GGACUCUAAAGUGGGGGUAACCCCAGCCAAGAUGGCUAAAGAUACAAACUUGUAACCACAAUGUCACAAGUUCGAAUCCCAGCCUUCUUGGUUUGAACCGGUCAGCUAUGGGCAACCUAGACUGGUUUACCUCCAUGUGGUCCUUUGCCAGCUAGGGUCACAAGGUGCCUCGGUUAAUAGCACAACAUAAAUCAAGUUCUUGUGGUUACGAAAGGAAGGCAACCUAACCUCAUGCGGGUUAACUGAAACACAUAAAUUAACUAAAAUGAUUUCCAUUUCGAG